rnacentral:rRNA from 1 species
UGGGGAAUUUUGCGCAAUGGGGGAAACCCCGACGCAGCAACGCCGCGUGAGUGAUGAAGGCCUUCGGGUCGUAAAGCUCUGUCAGAGGGGAAGAAAUGCAGGGGUGCUAGUAUCAUCUUUGCUUGACGGUACCCUCAAAGGAAGCACCGGCUAACUCCGUGCCAGCAGCCGCGGUAAUACGGAGGGUGCGAGCGUUGUUCGGAAUUAUUGGGCGUAAAGCGCGUGUAGGCGGUUUGGUAAGUCUGAUGUGAAGGCCCCGGGCUCAACCUGGGAAGUGCAUUGGAAACUGUCAGACUUGAAUACGGGGGAGGGUAGUGGAAUUCCUAGUGUAGGAGUGAAAUCCGUAGAUAUUAGGAGGAACUCCGGUGGCGAAGGCGGCUACCUGGACCGAUAUUGACGCUGAGACGCGAAAGCGUGGGGAGCAAACAG